rnacentral:rRNA from 1 species
UACGUAGGGACCGAGCGUUGUCCGGAUUCAUUGGGCGUAAAGAGCUCGUAGGCGGCUGCUCAAGUCGAAUGUGAAAACUCGAGGCUCAACCUCGAGCCUGCAUUCGAUACUGGGCGGCUAGAGUCUGGUAGGGGGAUCUGGAAUUCCUGGUGUAGCGGUGGAAUGCGCAGAUAUCAGGAGGAACACCGGUGGCGAAGGCGGUUCUCUGGGCCUGUACUGACGCUGAGGAACGAAAGCGUGGGGAGCGAACAGG